GGUGAAUCCCCAAAUUACCCUCCCAAAACUUCGAAAACCCUUUCCAUGUCAUCUCUUUUGCGGUCUCCCUCAAAUUCACACGCAUACACGAAGGCACAGAUCUAAGAGAGAACUGAAAAACCCCUUGUUCUCUCUCUCUUCUCUCCGAUCUGCUUCUGAUUAUUUGUUUCUCUGAAAUUGACAUUAGCUGUUCCUUGCCCUUUCACUCGAAUCUAAUAGCGUUGGUGAUUCAUUGUAGAUGCGAUUGGGUUCCUUUUCUUGAUCUGAUCAGAUCUAAGAGUUUAUUUUGGUUGAUUAUAGAAGAUGUUAACGAAGUUUGAGACGAAGAGUAAUAGAGUUAAGGGACUGAGUUUCCACAGUAAGAGACCGUGGAUCCUUGCGAGUCUUCAUAGUGGCGUGAUCCAGCUAUGGGACUACCGAAUGGGCACAUUAAUUGAUAGGUUUGAUGAGCACGACGGUCCUGUUCGCGGAGUCCAUUUCCACAAAUCUCAGCCUCUAUUUGUGUCUGGAGGUGAUGAUUACAAGAUUAAAGUUUGGAACUACAAAAUGCAUAGGUGUCUGUUUACACUUCUUGGACACCUUGAUUACAUCCGUACUGUUCAGUUUCAUCAUGAGUACCCAUGGAUCGUGAGUGCCAGUGAUGACCAGACCAUCCGUAUUUGGAAUUGGCAAUCACGUACUUGCAUUUCUGUGUUGACGGGCCACAAUCAUUAUGUAAUGUGCGCCUCAUUCCAUCCUAAAGAAGACCUUGUUGUUUCGGCCUCUCUAGAUCAGACUGUUCGUGUUUGGGAUAUUGGUGCCCUGAGAAAGAAAACUGUGUCCCCUGCUGAUGACAUUCUGCGCUUGAGUCAGAUGAACACGGAUCUUUUUGGUGGGGUUGAUGCUGUUGUUAAGUAUGUCUUGGAAGGUCAUGAUCGAGGAGUGAACUGGGCUGCAUUCCACCCCAACCUUCCCUUGAUUGUCUCAGGAGCAGAUGAUCGUCAGGUGAAAUUGUGGCGCAUGAAUGACACAAAGGCUUGGGAAGUGGACACAUUGAGAGGACACAUGAACAAUGUGUCAUGCGUUAUGUUCCAUGCCAAACAGGAUAUCAUUGUUUCAAAUUCUGAGGAUAAAAGCAUUCGUGUUUGGGAUGUAACCAAACGAACAGGAGUUCAGACUUUCCGUCGAGAGCAUGACCGUUUCUGGAUUCUUGCAUCUCACCCUGAAAUGAAUCUCCUUGCUGCAGGUCAUGACAGUGGCAUGAUUGUUUUUAAAUUAGAGAGAGAACGGCCUGCCUUUGCAGUGAGUGGUGAUUCUUUGUUCUAUGCCAAAGAUCGCUUUUUGCGGUUCUUUGAGUUUUCAACACAAAGAGAAACUCAAGUGAUUCCCAUCCGGCGACCUGGUACCACCAGCCUGAAUCAAAGUCCAAGGACACUAUCUUACAGUCCUACAGAGAAUGCUGUUCUUAUUUGCUCAGAUGUGGAUGGUGGAUCUUAUGAGCUGUAUGUCAUACCUAAAGAUAGCAUUGGUCGGGGUGAUACUGUGCAGGAGGCAAAGAGGGGUGCUGGGGUAUCAGCCAUUUUUGUGGCUCGUAAUAGAUUUGCUGUGCUUGACAAAAGUAGCAAUCAAGUCUUGGUCAAAAACCUGAAGAACGAAGUUGUUAAAAAAAGUGGUCUUCCCAUUGCUACUGAUGCAAUAUUCUAUGCUGGGACUGGUAACUUGCUUUGCAGAGCAGAGGAUAGAGUAGUCAUAUUUGAUCUCCAGCAAAGGCUCGUUCUUGGGGAUCUUCAAACACCUUUUGUCAAAUACGUUGUUUGGUCUAAUGACAUGGAGAGUAUUGCCUUGCUCAGCAAACAUGCCAUCAUCAUUGCUAGCAAGAAGCUUGUGCACCAGUGCACUCUUCAUGAGACAAUUCGUGUAAAGAGUGGAGCCUGGGAUGAUAAUGGUGUUUUUAUUUAUACAACUUUAAAUCACAUAAAAUACUGCCUUCCUAAUGGGGAUAGUGGCAUAAUCAGAACUCUUGAUGUCCCAAUAUACAUUACCAAGGUUUCUGGAAAUACCAUUUUUUGCUUGGAUCGGGAUGGGAAAAAUAGAACUAUUGUCAUUGAUGCAACAGAAUAUAUCUUUAAACUCUCCCUUUUGAGGAAGAGAUAUGACAAUGUUAUGAGCAUGAUUAGGAACUCUCAGCUUUGUGGGCAGGCAAUGAUUGCGUAUUUGCAGCAGAAGGGUUUUCCUGAAGUUGCUUUGCAUUUUGUGAAGGAUGAGAGAACACGAUUUAAUUUGGCCCUUGAGAGUGGAAAUAUUCAGAUUGCUGUUGCUUCAGCAAAGGAAAUUGAUGAGAAAGAUCAUUGGUAUAGAUUGGGGGUGGAAGCGCUUCGCCAAGGUAAUGCUGGUAUCGUUGAGUAUGCCUACCAGAGGACUAAAAAUUUUGAGAGGUUAUCUUUCCUUUAUCUAAUAACUGGGAAUCUGGAAAAGCUUUCCAAGAUGCUGAAAAUUGCUGAGGUUAAGAAUGAUGUCAUGGGUCAAUUUCACAAUGCCCUGUAUUUGGGUGAUGUUCAAGAGCGUGUCAAGAUCUUAGAGAAUGCUGGUCAUUUGCCACUCGCUUAUAUAACUGCUAAAGUCCAUGGGUUAGAGGAUCUUGCUGAACGUUUGGCUGCUGAAUUAGGAGAUAAUGUUCCAUCCGUUCCAGAGGAUAAAGUGCCCUCCCUUCUGAUGCCUCCAGCUCCCGUUAUGUGUGGUAGUGACUGGCCCCUUCUAAGAGUCAUGAAAGGUAUUUUUGAAGGUGGACUUGAUAAUAUGGGCAGAGGUGGUGCUGAAGAAGAUGAAGAGGUUGGGGAAGGCGAUUGGGUUAAUGAACUGGAAAUGGUUGUUGAGGAUGGCUCACAAAAUGGGGAUGUUACAGCAAUUUUGGAGGAUGGAGAAGGGGCUGAAGAAAAUGACGAGGGAGGAUGGGACCUUGAAGACCUGGAGCUUCCCCCUGAGGCAGACACACCUAGGGCUUCUGUCAUUGCUCGCUCUUCAGUUUUUGUGGCACCAACUCCUGGUAUGCCUGUAAGCCAGAUUUGGAUCCAGAGAUCAUCACUAGCUGCUGAACAUGCUGCAGCUGGCAAUUUUGAUACUGCUAUGCGAUUGCUCAACAGGCAACUUGGAAUUCGAAACUUCAUCCCUUUGAGAUCCAUGUUUCUUGAUCUUCAUUCUGGUAGCCAUUCCUAUUUGCGUGCAUUUUCAUCUACUCCAGUGAUAUCACUAGCUGUUGAGCGAGGAUGGAAUGAGUCUGCCAGCCCUAAUGUGAGGGGUCCUCCAGCAUUGGUGUUCAAUUUCUCACAGUUGGAGGAGAAGCUCAAGGCUGGUUACAAAGCCACAACAACAGGGAAAUUCACAGAGGCACUUAGACUCUUUCUCAGCAUCCUUCACACAAUUCCCUUAAUUGUUGUUGAAUCAAGGAGAGAGGUUGAUGAAGUCAAGGAAUUGAUUGUUAUAGUCAAAGAAUAUGUGCUGGGUCUGCAGAUGGAGCUUAAAAGAAGGGAAAUGAAAGAUAAUCCAGUCCGCCAACAGGAGCUAGCUGCCUACUUCACCCACUGCAACCUUCAAAUGCCUCAUUUAAGGCUUGCUUUGCUAAAUGCAAUGACUGUAUGCUUCAAAGCAAAGAACCUUGCUACUGCAGCUAACUUUGCCAGGCGGCUGUUGGAGACAAACCCCACACUUGAGAACCAGGCAAAGACUGCCAGGCAAGUGUUGCAGGCUGCAGAAAGGAAUAUGACAGAUGCCUCUGAGCUGAAUUAUGAUUUCAGGAACCCAUUUGUGACAUGUGGUGCAACAUAUGUUCCAAUUUACCGAGGACAAAAGGAUGUCUCUUGCCCAUACUGUAGUUCACGAUUUGUGCCAAGCCAAGAAGGGAAGCUGUGUACUGUUUGUGAUCUUGCAGUUGUUGGGGCAGAUGCUUCAGGUUUGCUUUGUUCUCCUUCCCAGAUACGAUGAUUGAGAUGCUGAAGUGAGAGGAUUUUUCAAUUAUUUUUCAGCUCAUCUUACUAGCAGCAGUGGUCAUCUUGAUUGUUUCACUGCGGGGAAAAAAAAGGUAAGAUAAUAUAGAAGAGUUAAGUGCCCUGUGAAUUUGCUUGUGCUGUCUCCUUUUCUUUGCUUUCUUCUCUAAAUCUUCUUUACCUCUUUUUACUUAGUUGAUUAUGAUUUUCAUUGUAAUAAACAACUUGAGAAUUUUGACUUGGGUUUUUCUUGUUACCUGUCAAUAGACAAGAAUGGUCAACGGCUCUUGUUAAAUUAGAUAAUCUUUAUAGGCAGGACAAAUUACAUAUCAGUGUAUGCAGAUGCCAUGCCGUUUGGCAAAUUUGAUUUGCUUAUUUGUGAUGAAUUAGAGUUUCUACCGGUUGGCAGUGAAAUUAGUUUUUCUGGUUUCAAUAAUCAACAUUUUUGUAUGUUUUCAGCACCCUUUCACCACAUCUUUAUCUUUUGAAGUUUUUGUUCAGAAUCCUCGUGGAAUAUUCAGUGGCUGAUGUGGUGCUGUUCAAUCACAUUUUUGGAUUAAAUAUUAUAGGUUCUUGUUAAUUACCAUAUUUUGGAGCUGCGUGUCUGGCUGUUUGCAAAUACAUUGUAGGAUUUUAAAGUAUAUAGAUUUGCCAGUAAAACUUACAAGUCUUCUGACUUGAGUUGGUGAGAAGGG
rnacentral:misc_RNA from 1 species